ACCAAUGUGUCUAAGAUGUGUAACUGAUCUUGCCGGGCCAGAAAAACAUGCAAGAAAAAAAGGGAUAUUUGAAUGCUUCAAACCACAAUUUCCACUAAUUGCCACAGUGCUAGAACUUGGUUUAGGUUACCCACCUGACACCUGUAGUCUCUAGUUAUAUAAUUAAAAGACAAGUAACUAAACGAAAGUAUAUCAAUUACACUAAUAAAAUGAUUAAAUUAAUUUUCUUUGUCUUUAAUAUUAAAAAUUUUAAUAAAAAUAUUUACUUAAUUAACUAAAAUUACUUCCCUCUGCUUUUUAGGUCCGUGCAAAAACUGGUGAUGGUGCCUAUAUGGCACAACUGUGUGAUUUUUUAUUUAUUUAGUAUGAAUUGGUACAAUUGAAACAAUAAAAAUUGUUAUAGUACAUGCAAAAUACCAGUUACCGUGCCUGAAAUUACCUGGCGCAUUUAGCAAGAAAACGGUCUUGGCUGUGGACUUGUCAAAGCGAAAAGCUAUUGAAAGGUUUUGUGCAGAGGUAAAAAGGCUGUGCCAUGCUGAAAAGAGGAAGGAUUGCGUCGGAAGCCUACUUGCUCACCCUAGGAAAAUUUAUUAGUAUGAUUGCGGUGCUAGAUAAACUGAAAAACAUGAAAUCAUGUGUGAAAAAUGAUUAUU